UACGGAGGGUGCAAGCGUUAUCCGGAAUCAUUGGGCUUAAAGGGUCCGCAGGCGGCUUUAUAAGUCAGUGGUGAAAGCCUGAUGCUUAACAUCAGAACUGCCAUUGAUACUGUAAGUCUUGAAUUCGAUCGAAGUGGGCGGAAUAUGACAUGUAGCGGUGAAAUGCUUAGAUAUGUCAUAGAACACCGAUAGCGAAGGCAGCUCACUAGGUCUGGAUUGACGCUCAGGGACGAAAGCGUGGGGAGCAAACAGG
rnacentral:rRNA from 1 species